rnacentral:rRNA from 1 species
AUGAACGCUGGCGGCGUGCCUAAUACAUGCAAGUAGAACGCUGAAGCUUGGUGCUUGCACCGAGCGGAUGAGUUGCGAACGGGUGAGUAACGCGUAGGUAACCUGCCUCUUAGCGGGGGAUAACUAUUGGAAACGAUAGCUAAUACCGCAUAAAAGUCGACAUCGCAUGAUGUUGACUUGAAAGGUGCAAUUGCAUCACUAAGAGAUGGACCUGCGUUGUAUUAGCUAGUUGGUGAGGUAACGGCUCACCAAGGCGACGAUACAUAGCCGACCUGAGAGGAUGAUCGGCCACACUGGGACUGAGACACGGCCCAGACUCCUACGGGAGGCAGCAGUAGGGAAUCUUCGGCAAUGGGGGCAACCCUGACCGAGCAACGCCGCGUGAGUGAAGAAGGUUUUCGGAUCGUAAAGCUCUGUUGUAAGAGAAGAACGAGUGUGAGAGUGGAAAGUUCACACUGUGACGGUAACUUACCAGAAAGGGACGGCUAACUACGUG